rnacentral:rRNA from 1 species
GGUACUUGUACUAGAUGACGACCGGCGAACGGGUGCGUAACGCGUAUGCAACCUGCCCUAUACUGAGGAAUAGCCCAGAGAAAUUUGGAUUAAUACCUCAUAGUACUUUUGAUAGGCAUCUUGAAAAAGUUAAAGAUUUAUCGGUAUAGGAUGGGCAUGCGUAAGAUUAGCUUGUUGGUGAGGUAACGGCUCACCAAGGCGACGAUCUUUAGGGGGUCUGAGAGGAUGAUCCCCCACACUGGUACUGAGAUACGGACCAGACUCCUACGGGAGGCAGCAGUAGGGAAUAUUGGUCAAUGGGCGAAAGCCUGAACCAGCCAUGCCGCGUGCAGGAAGACGGCCUUCUGGGUUGUAAACUGCUUUUAUAUGGGAAGAAAAUGUCCUUGCGAGGAAAAUUGACGGUACCAUAUGAAUAAGCACCGGCUAACUCCGUGCCAGCAGCCGCGGUAAUACGGAGGGUGCAAGCGUUGUCCGGAUUUAUUGGGUUUAAAGGGUACGUAGGCGGCCGAUUAAGUCAGUGGUGAAAGCCUGCAGCUCAACUGUAGAGGUGCCAUUGAUACUGGUUGGCUUGAGUACUGUUAAGGUAGGCGGAAUUGAUGGUGUAGCGGUGAAAUGCAUAGAUACCAUCAGGAACACCGAUUGCGAAGGCAGCUUACUGGGCAGUAACUGACGCUAAUGUACGAAAGCGUGGGGAGCGAACAGGAUUAGAUACCCUGGUAGUCCACGCCGUAACCAUGAUCACUCGCUGUUGGCCGGUAUUAGAUCAGUGGCCAAGCGAAAGCGUUAAGUGAUCCACCUGGGGAGUACGACCGCAAGGUUGAAACUCAAAGGAAUUGACGGGGGUCCGCACAAGCGGUGGAGCAUG